CCAUUGAACCCAAAAUUAAAACGUCAUAUGCGUGUAUGUCGUAAGCAGGCACAAUAACCCCCAUUCCCAUCAUUAACACUAAACUCAAGUACUUAUUUUUUGUUUUCAUUUGCAGGCAUCCGGCAACACCAUACUGUUGGCAUUCCAAUCUUCUUCUUAUUCGCGCUUAAAAUUGGAAUGUGAUUGCAUAGACAAAUGUAUUUGCAUUUAAUUUUAAUAGAUAUAAUUAGAAUAUUAGCAUAAAAAUCGGUAAAAACACGCGUGUGAGUGUAUAUUUCGUGAUUUAUAGUGAAAUGUUAAAAAAUAUAGAGUGUAAUGUGGCAAAUUACACUGAUGUUCCCAAGGGCAUUUUGAAUGAAAGAAACGCGAAAUGAUAAAAAAAAUUCUUGGAAAAUUUAAAAUGAAUGGUGCUUCAUUGGAAAAAUUCAAAGAAGUACACCACACAACAACUCAUUCCAACUCUGAUUUUGAAAUCCUGUUGGAAUUGGUGAUCGAUAAUUUUGUCACUAUAAUGGUCAAUGGAAAUUUGCGUGUAUCAGACCCUGCAUAUUAUUUACCAUAUAUACUUUUUAUGGAACAUAUGGACCAAAUGAACACAAAAAAAUAAUUUAGUUUUGUUUUGAUUUUUUGCAACAUUUUGGUUUUUAGUUAAUACAAUAAAAACAAUACUGUUUUUUCGUGAACACAAAAUUCUAAAUUUAUUACGUUGUUUGUUUAGAAUUUUUUUAGAAAAAAAGUAAAUUUUUUGGUUUUGAGGAAAUUUGUUUAUUGUUGCUAUUUGUGAA